UUUAACAAUGGGCAAAGCAGAAGUGAUUCUGUGACGCAAAGCUAUAGGGCCUUAUAGAUGGGAGAUAAUCUGUAAGGUAGCCAGUUGCAAAU
rnacentral:ncRNA from 1 species